GAUGAAGAACGUAGCGAAAUGCGAUAAGUAAUGUGAAUUGCAGAAUUCAGUGAAUCAUCGAAUCUUUGAACGCACCUUGCGCCCUUUGGCCAUUCCGAAGGGCAUGCCUGUUUGAGUAUCAUGAACACCUCAACUCUCAUGGCUCGCCAUGAUGAGCUUGGACUUUGGGGGUCUUGCUGGCCUGUGGUCGGCUCCUCUCAAAUGGAUCAGCUUGCCAGUGUUUGGUGGCAUCACAGGUGUGAUAACUAUCUGCGCUUGUGGUUUUCCAUCAGAUAACCUUCAGUGAUGGAGGUUCGCUGGAGCUCAUAAACGUCUCCCCUAAGCGGGGACAGCCCUUUGAAUGUUUGAUCUCAAAUCAGGUAGGACUACCCGCUGAACUUAAGCAUAUCAAUAAGCGGAG
rnacentral:misc_RNA from 1 species